AAGGGCGCACGGUGGAUGCCUUGGCACUAGGAGCCGAAGAAGGACGGGACUAACACCGAUAGC
rnacentral:rRNA from 1 species